rnacentral:lncRNA from 1 species
CCUUGGUUGUCGUGCCAGCGUUAGUUGCAUCGCCGGAGUUGAAGGAGAGGCGAGAGAGGAUUUGAGAGGAGGGAGGAUUUCUGAGGAGAGAGAGACGCGGUGGGAGAGAUAGAAAGUGGUGGUUGUGCGGUAAUUAAGGAACAGUAAUUUCCCCUCUCCGAUCUCUCACCUCCCUUCUAAUUCUGCUUGCAUCUCCUCUCGUUGAUUUGAAAAUCGACGGCAGCUCAAAACAACCGCCGCGGCAGUUGCCCUCCGGAAGGGUUCGCGGCGGCGGCGAAGUACCUCUGCACGGGCUGGCAAGUAACAGUACCAAGUAC